rnacentral:ncRNA from 1 species
AGGUUGCAUUAAAGCUUAAAAGGGAAAUCCGGUGAGAAUCCGGUGCAGCCCACUCGCUGCUGUAAGUAGUCCUUAAAGUCCUUUGCAUUAUGUCACUGGAAUUAUUUCUGGGAAGGCGCAAAGGAGACCCGAGGCUACAAGCCAGAACACCUGCCUUAGUACU